rnacentral:rRNA from 1 species
GGGCCCGCACAAGCAGUGGAGCAUGUGGUUUAAUUCGAUGCAACGCGAAGAACCUUACCAGGCCUUGACAUCCUGCGAACGCUUUAGAGACAAAGUGAUGCCUUCGGGAGCGCAGAGACAGGUGCUGCAUGGCUGUCGUCAGCUCGUGUUGUGAAAUGUUGGGUUAAGUCCCGUAACGAGCGCAACCCUUGUCCUUACUUGCCAGCACUUCGGGUGGGAACUUUAAGGAGACUGCCGGUGACAAACCGGAGGAAGGUGGGGACGACGUCAAGUCAUCAUGGCCCUUACGACCAGGGCUACACACGUGCUACAAUGGGACGCACAGAGGGUUGCGAAGCGGUGACGUGAAGCGAAUCCCACAAAACGUCUCGUAGUCCGGAUCGGAGUCUGCAACUCGACUCCGUGAAGUCGGAAUCGCUAGUAAUCGC